rnacentral:snoRNA from 1 species
UUCUUGUGAUGAUCCAAAUCAGUUCUGCUUCCGAAAGAGCCAAAAGCUCUGGUGGACAACCUAAAUACCAAAACUCUCAAUUCUGACCU